AAAAAAAAAAAAGAAAGAAAGAAAAAGAAAAGGAAAGAAAGCCCUAUAGAACAAAUAUCAGCAGUAUAUGGCAAUGGUUAAUUAACUAUUCUGCAGUCUGUGGCUCUGAAUUCUAGUUCUGGUUCUCUACUGACCAUGGGCAGGUUACUUAACCACCCUGCCUUCAAUUUCUCACCCAUAAAGUGGGGAUGAUAAUAGUAUCUAUCUCAUAAGAUUGCUAUGGAUUAAUUUGCGUGUUAUUCAUAUAAAGUACUCAGCCCAGCCCAGGGACAUAGUAAGCUCUGAAAAAAUGAGAGCUAUUAUUAUAAUUAGCUCAAAGCAGAGCAGAACUUUGUAGACAUAUUUUGAUGGCCUGACUGAAAUGGGAUUUAGCCUGGAGGAAGCAGAACCAAUUAGGAUCAGAUAAUUCAUCAGAAUUCCUUCUAAAUGGAUGUGUGUAUAUGUAGAAAUGAAUCAUUUUGUUGUUUAGGAGAAAUGAUCAAAGCACUGUAAAUCAACUAUACAUUAAUAAAACAUUUUUUAAAUAAAUUAAAAAAUUUUUAAAAAUUCCUUCUAGAUUUGUAGUUCCAGAUUUUCUCUUGCCUUGGUCCUUUCUCCAAAUAAGAAAAAUUUGGGGUUCUUUGAAAUAAGGAGAAUGGGUAUAUUUUCAAGGAUAAGGUACAGUUUAGGGAAGCUCUCUGAAGGAAGAGUUUUCAGGGCUUGGCUCCUGCUUGGCUAAAUGUUUUAAAGAACUUGAAAGCUGAUGAAGAGCUGUCAUUCAUCUCCAGGGAGGGCUGGGUAAGAGGAAGUGGAACCCAAUGGCAAUUGAAGCACUUCCCGCUAGACAGGAAGAAAUUCCCGGAAGCAAUUUAGUUUCCACAGGAGGGCAGGUGAUAGCCUUCCAGGAAAAAAAAUUAAUGAACUUUGUUGGGGUAUAAUUUUUUCUUUUUUCUUUUUUUGGCCACAACCAUGGCAUGCAUAAGUUCCUGGGCCAAGGUUCAAAUCCUCAUCACAGCCAAUACCAUAGCCCCAGUGGUGACAACCUUAACCUACUGAGCCACCAGGGAGCUCUGAGAUAUAAUUUACAAACAGCAACUUCAUUCACUUAUUGAAUGGUGUUCGAUGAGUUGUAACACAUAACAUGAAUACUUCAUGUAACUACUAUCACAAUCAAGAUAUAACACAUUUCUGUUGGUCCAAAAGUUUUCCUCAUUCCUUUUUAGAGCCAGCUUCCCUAACCUAACUCUUGGGUCCCGGGACAUCACUGAUCUGCUUUCUAUCAUCAUUUUGCCUAUCGUGGGAUUUUGUAUGAGUGGAGUCUCACAGUAUGUACGCUUCUGUGUUUGGUGUCUUUUACUCAUCCAUGUUGUUAUAUACACCUGUCGUUUGUUCGUUUUUUAAACUGAGUUAUGUUCUAUUGUAUAGAUAUACCACAACCUCUUUCAUCUACCUACUCACAUGUAGAUGAACAUUUGGGUUGUUUCCAGGUUGUGAUCAUGAUAAAGUUACAUGUAUAUACAAGUCUUCAUGUGUAUGUUUUCCAAAAUGGAUGUCCCAUUUUACAUUCCCAGCAAGCAGCGUGUGAGAGUUCUAGUUGCUCCAGCCUCACCAACAGCUGGUAUUUGCAUUAGGUAUUAUAACAGCCUCCUAAAAGUGUCCAUGUUCUAAUCCCCCAAGUCUGUGUAUAUGUCGCUGGGGCUGGCAAAAGAGACAUCACAGCUAUGACUAAGUCAAGGAUCUUGAGAUGGAAAGAUUAUUCUGGACUGUCUAAGCAGGCUGGUGUAAAUCAUAAGACUCUUUAAAAGAUGAAAUACAGGCAGAAGCAUGAACUGGCAGCUAUGGAAGGAGAGGUAACACAUUUGGUUGUUUUAUCUUAAACACAUGGUUUAUCCCACUCGUCACUGGUUGAACUGAGCCUUUAAACCUGGUUUGCCUAGUUUAUAUGUGCAUUUACUCUGCUGCUCAGCCUCCUCAGUGCAAGACACUAUUAGGACCCCUCGCAACAGAGAGAUGCUUGCAGGAUUUGCUGGAUGACAUUGGGAACCUGGGGAGAGGGUGAUACAAGGAGCUGGGAUGGGAGUUCCAAAGCCAAACUUUGCCUUCUUCUUCUUCUUUUUUUUUUUUUUUUUUUGUUUUUUUUUUGUUCUCUUGGGGCCACAACCACAACAUAUGGAAGUUCCUAGGCUAGGGGUCAGAGCUACUACUGCCGGCCUGCACCACAGCCACAACAAAGCCAGAUCUCAGCCACAUCUGCAACCUACAUCACAGCUCAGGGCAACGCCAGAUCCUUAACCCACUGAGCAGGGCCAGGGAUGGAACCCACAUCCUCAUGUAUACUAGUGGGGUUCAUUACCACUGAGCCACAACAGGCACUCCCCAAACAUUGCCCUUUAAACAAGUUUGGCAGCUUUCAGAGAGAAGAUUUGUGAUUCUAUCCUCAUGGACCACAGAAGUUCCUUAGCCCUUUGUCUAUUAUGGGACCAUCCUAUUUUUCUUAUCUUGUAAUCCCUAGUACCCAGUCCAGAGCCUGGUGAAUGUGCAGUGCCUCAUAACUGCUUGUUGAAUUGCAUUGAAUACCAACCAUCCUAGCCCAGAAAGACCUCAAGGGAUCUGAGUUAGAGCAAAGCUCAGAAAUAAUGCAGCCCAGACUCCUGCUGGAUGCAGGAAUUCCCUUCCAUUGUAAAUCAGAGUGCUGUGAUUGGGAGCAGAGGAUCUGGAGACAGACUUCCUGGAUUUGAGUCCUCGCUCCUGUUAUUCAAAUUCUAUAAAUAUGGGCUGAUUACUUAAUUUCUGUGUGUCUCAAUACUUUAUAGGAAUAUUGUAAGAUUUUUAACAAGAUAACAUAUCGAAAUUGUUUAAAGCAAUGGACUGGUGCUAGGAAGUGUUCGGUGAGUGCUGACCGUCAUUAUUAUCAGUUGUUAUCAUCAAUGGCAGGAAUACAUUGAGGCGAACGUAUCCUCUCGUAAUUUGCAUGCACUGAUCCCAGACCUGUCUUCACAUGAAACCUUUCAGAGAGCCAAAGACAGCUAUGAGGUGCCUCCAGAGCUUUCUCUGAAGUUACGCACCCACACUUCUCUCCAGUCAUGUUUUCUCAUGCGACAGGAUCUUCAGAUCUUUUUUCCAUUUUCUUACAGGUUUCUAGUUGCACCUGGAAGUGCCCCAUUUGAACACAGUUGUUCAGGAGGAGGGCUGCGUGGGCUUAGUCCUCCAAUCUAGGCACUAUUCCAACUCAAAGCUAAGUGCCUGGGUCUCUGGGUGGAGAUGGGGGUUGUGAACUGGUUGCUUACCCAGUUGUCAUCUCGUUACACUCAGGCACCCGUCCAUCCUGAAUCUCAACUCUUUUAACUGAGGUUAGAGUGUGAGGUUCUGUGGGGUUUAACUCCUCCUUCCUUCACCCGUGGCCACUCCAGCACUCUGGGAGGGGAACAAAGUGGGCAGGCCGUCUUGAGUUUCUUCUAGUGCCACAAAAGCCAACUUCGAUGUUUGAGGCAGAGUAACGGCCAUGGACAAGCACUGGGAAAUCCCUUAGACCCUAUAUCGCAGCUUCCCACACAGUGAACCCAGGGAGACCUGGCCUGACCUUCUAGCAAGAAGAAUUUUAGGCAGAGAGAACUGCAUUCCGAAUUGCAGUUUUAAGAGUCUGGCCUUGAUGUCUAGACACUCACUGUUCACGGUGUUAACCCCAAACUGCCCAUUCCUUCCAUCCUGCCUCCCUACUGCUGAUUCCAGCUUAUCUCUCCAACCUCAGCUCUCCCCAAGUCCUAAAAACCUACACUUAUUCAUUUGCUUCUCUCCAUAUAUUUUAAACUCUACUACCAGACUCCCCUUUGGAUAGGAGGCUCCAUCAAAAAUGCUAACAUUCACCAAGCAUUUACUAUUUACUAGGCUAAGUGCUGUAUAUGAAAUAUAUCAUUUAAACCUCAUAAUGAUCCCAUGAGGUAGCUAAGGUUCCUGGCUCCAUUUCACAAGUAAAGAAACUAGGGCUUAAGAGGUUAAAUGUCUUGUCCAAGAUCAACUAGCUGGUAGUGGUGGAAUUUGGGUUGGUACCCAGUACCUCUGACUCUAGAGUGAUAAUGCCUCUUCCCAUAGGAACCCUCUAGUAAAUAAUAAUCCCCUCCCACUCGGUAUCUCUGGAUUCAAACAGGGAAAGAGAACCACUAUGCACUAUAGACAGUGGGUUUAUUACAAAUCUUAGACCUCACCUAAUUACAGGAGGAACAGAGAACAUGAAGGUAUAGGUGGGGAGUUGAAGGAUCAAUGGCAGAGUCAGUGACACCGCUGAGCACAUCCCACAGCAGGAGUGAAGCCAUAAAGGAAAGCUCGUGGGAGGUCCGAGCCUCUGGUGAGGGGCCUAGACCCCAGGCUGCAGUUGGUCAGCAGGGUCAGGAGGUGGGAGAAGAGCAGACUGUGGAGCUGGUGCCAUCAUGGACCAACUGGAAUCUGUAGCACUUCUUCAUUUGUCACCACGUUUAAUUACAGUGACCUUCAGAGGUCAUAAUGCUGCCUCACUUCAACUUUCUAAAGCUCAUGCACUUUGGUGCAACUCUAACCCAAAACCAAAACGAGAAGGGAGUUCUGGGAAGCACACUUCUGGGUUAACCAAGCUGACCGUGCAAACCACCCCGUGUGGCAAAUCAUGCAAACCUCUUCCCGUGCAUUACCCUCAAAAGCAGCUGGUGCACCCAUCCGUGGGAGGGCCCAGACGUCACCCCGGAGUCUGCAAGUGCUAAAAACGCUCAUCCGAUUCAAUCUUGCAUUGCCUUCAGUUGUAAUUCAGAGACUUAGUAUAUGACUAAUGCUCAUUUACUUUCUUUUUCUUAUGUCAGAAGAUUAGAGUUUAUCAUUUCAGUUUUGACCACUGGUCUAAAAUGUAAAAGAGAACCAACAAGUUAACUUAAAAAAACAAACAAACAAAAAAACCCCAAACCUCUUGGAGUUCCUGUUGUGGCUCAGCAGAAAUGAAUCUGACUGGUAUCCAUUAGGACGCAGAUUCAAUUCCUGGCCUUGCUCAGUGGAUUAAGGAUACUGUGUUGCCAUGAGCUGUGGUGUAGGUUACAGAAGCGGCUCGGAUCUGCUGUUUCUGUGGCUGUGGCAUGUAGGCCCACAGCUAUAGCUCUGAUUCAACCCCUAGCCUGGGAACCUCCAUAUGCUGCGGGUGUGGCCCCAAAGUGAAAAAAACAAAACUCUUUAUAGACAGGCGAGGUGAUGAAUUUUUCAAGCAUUAGAGUGUAGAAGACAAUUAGCCCUGGGUCUGGAUUCCAUUUAAAACAAAAGGAAAUUAAGU
rnacentral:lncRNA from 1 species